AUUGAACGCUGGCGGCAGGCUUAACACAUGCAAGUCGAGCGGGGGUAGGUAGCUUGCUACCGGACCUAGCGGCGGACGGGUGAGUAAUGCUUAGGAAUCUGCCUAUUAGUGGGGGACAACAUCUCGAAAGGGAUGCUAAUACCGCAUACGUCCUACGGGAGAAAGCAGGGGAUCUUCGGACCUUGCGCUAAUAGAUGAGCCUAAGUCGGAUUAGCUAGUUGGUGGGGUAAAGGCCUACCAAGGCGACGAUCUGUAGCGGGUCUGAGAGGAUGAUCCGCCACACUGGGACUGAGACACGGCCCAGGCUCCUACGGGAGGCAGAAGUGGGGAAUAUUGGACAAUGGGGGGAACCCUGAUCCAGCCAUGCCGCGUGUGUGAAGAAGGCCUUAUGGUUGUAAAGCACUUUAAGCGAGGAGGAGGCUACUUAGUUAAUACCUAGAGAUAGUGGACGUUACUCGCAGAAUAAGCACCGGCUAACUCUGUGCCAGCCGCCGCGGUAA
rnacentral:rRNA from 1 species